GAACAUCUGAGAAAGUGGCAGACAUUUGUGGAAGGUAAAUCUUAAAAAGGUUGUAUGUAAUUAACUGGCUAUAAUUAGUACAGUCAAAAUUAUUAAAAUUAACAUUAGUGAUAAAAGGAAAGUCUGAAAUAUUCAUCUGCUCUUAUCUAUCAAGAUAAUUUUCUUGUAACUGUUAGGUUUUAUUACUUGGGGAAAUUAAGUUUUAAAGGAAUUAGAGUUUGUACACAUUUUAAAGUGUUUUAAAUGAUUACUUUGUGACUGGUUAAAUGAACAACAGUUAUUUUAUGUUAUAAUGAUGUAGCUGACACCCUAAAUAUAUGUAAGUCGAUAUAUGUAUAUAUCUGAGAAGUAUAUCUGUUCAAGCUUUGUCAAGUGUUAUGUAAAUUUGUAAAAUGAAAGUUUAUCAGUUUUGCUGGAAGGUAAUCAGUAAGUGCUCUCCUUUAUACAUUGUAUCUGACAUAGAAAGAUCACUCUCCUUACAUUGGUUUGUUUUGAAUAAGGCUAUUUCUGAUCAUUACAGUGUUUCCUAAAUGUAAAAGAGAUUUAAGGCUAAUUUUUGUUAGUACUGCUAAUCCAUGCAGACCUGUGACUAUUUACUGCACACUAUAGAUUCUAAAUUUUACUUUAAAAGUUAAACAUUUUUAAUGGAAAUCUUAGGAGAGCACUUCACAAAGUUGGUGUUCUCCAAACUAACAUUGUCUGUAGCAAGAGUCUCCUUCAGAUUUAUACAGAAAUAACACAUUUGGUUAAAUUUAUUUAUGUUAUUUAAUGUUUUAUAACUGGAUAAAGGUCAUCUGUGGUCAAUAAUUUAUAUAUUAAAAUUUGUGUUACUCUUUAAAUUGGGAUGGAAGUGAAAAUGUAUUUUUGGAGGGUACUGGGAGACCUGAUUUGUUUAUAGGUCGACUUUAUAAAAUACGGAAGCAUUGUGCCACUUUUUCCACAAAAAGAAAGCUAAGUCUCUCUUGCCUUUGUUGACUCAUGUUUCAGAUGUAAUGUUGUGUUAUGUUAAUUGAUAUUCAAAGACUUGGGAAGUAAUAUGUGAGAGAUUCAUAGAAUGAUAUUUUAAAAGGGGGCAAGAUGAGAGUUAGAAAUAAAACACUUACUCAGAUUUGAAAGCGGCCAGGCUCGGCUGAAUAAAGGUUCUUCUUCCCCUCCUACUCACGUUAUGAUGGCUCUGAAGUGGGCUUGAAUUAAGCUUAUUUAAAAUUUUGUACAGAAGAUAGUUUGGUUUUUUUUUGUAAAGAUUAGUAUAGUCUCAAAAACAAACAAACAAACAAAACCCAGGGUAUAUAAUACAUUACUAGGUAAAGAUUUAAGAUGAUAAAAGUCACGUUUCUUGGUUUAUUGCUAUUACACAAGCUAAGUAUGUUUUUGCUGUUAAUUUCAUUUUGUAUUUUCCUCGUAAACGUUAUAACUGUCGCCUCUUAGUGUUUUGCAGAGGUACUGCUUCUAAUCAAACAAGCUGUGUGAACUUGAGAUUCCAAGCCAUCACCUACAGGACAGAAAGCAUCCAGUGCUGACUCCAGUACUCACACUGGUCCCAGUUAAAUGGGCAGGAACUGUAAAUUAUAAACUUGAGAGUUAAGACCCAUUACCUCCACUUCAAGCCUGGGGAUACUGGCCUGUUGGAUGCCUAACACCUAAAACUUGGAGAUGAAAGUAGAGGAAGAAGGUGGCCAAGAAAAGCAGCCAGCCUUUUGACCCUUUCCCUCUAAGGACAGCCAGGACCCAGAGAAUGACAGGACCCCUCUCUGGGUCCUGUAGCCCUGGUGAGUCACCUGAUCUGCUCAUCAGAGGGAUGGAAAGAACCUCAGAGAACAGGAAGCCAACCAGUGCAUGUUCUGCAAAGAGGAGGGUCAUUGAGAGGGAAAUGGCCCUGGCCUUAGGGGCACUGAUGUGGCUCUCAGGAAGUGAGUGAGUUCCCCAGAGGGUGGGUUGUGGCUGUAUCCCCAGGGGCUCUCUGCAGGAGCUUCUGCCACGGUGACCCUCCUCCAUGUGGCCCUCACCGGAGCCCAGCAGAUGCCCACCUUUUUUGGCCCUUGCCCUCUAAGGACAGCCCAUGCUCUGGGCCUCCAGACUGUGAACCAAACUCCUUCCUUUUUAAGUGUCCUGCUUCAGAUAUUUUGUCACCACAGAAAACAGACUCAGUUAGUGCAGGAUUCUCCACCCAAGAUCAGAGAGUGCGGCCCCACCCCGCGGCCCGGGGGACAGCCCUCCAGCUGUUGGUCCUCCAUGGUGCCAGAGGGCCUCCCCAGCCCAGGCCCUCCCUGGGCCUCUUGUCCAGUUCCUGAGGGCUCAUCUCUUCCUGGUGGCUCCUCCCCACGAUCCCACAGCACUGUCAGGAUGAGGCAGGGCGUGGAGGGCUGACGGGCCCCCACCUGCUGACUUGUGGUCCUGAGUGGUGUGAGCAGUGGGCAGCCAACGGCUGUCUAUGCCUCGGAGGACAGGACCGGGGCAGUGGCAGCACUCUGCGCUCAGGAGGACUCCUGCAUGAGGCUCCCUCCUGCUCCCCCUCAUCCUGUCUGCCUCUGGAGACCAGCUGGUGCUCAUGAUCUACAGCAGAGGGACCAGGCAAGUGCGCAGGCAGCCUAGAUGGCUCACUGGCUGCUGGGUCCUCUGGCCCUGAAAGCUCAUCACCCAGCAAGAAUCAGGCCCCUGGACCCACACCUGCUUCCUGUACUUGGCCUCAGGGCCCUUGCACCAUGACCCCCAGAACCUUGAGGCCCUGAGGUGUCUGUAUCUUAUUCUUCUCUACUAUGGAGCCUGAGGCCCAGGUGAGCACCAUGGCCUCAGCUCUGUCGCCCUCACAGGCACUGUGGCCACUGUCCACCUGGUCACUCAAUGGUCCCACCACUUUGUUCCUGUGGAGGGCAUGUGCUCAACUACAGAUCACCUCUGCCUGCUGACAACUCUGCCUGUGGAUGACUGGGACCAAGUUUGUGUUCCACAGAGUCGGAGAAUGAACGCCGUGGACAGCCAAGGGAAGCAAUUUUAUUUAAGAGGGUAAUGGAGGACGGCCUCUCCCAAGAGGAGGGUGCCUGAGGGAGGGGCGCCCUGCUCUUCUUAGCCCUCAGACUUCGCUGUUUCAUUACUAAUUGUCUUUUUUUCUUCCCUGAAUAUGGGCCUAGGACUGUGAGCAUGAAAGUCUUUUGAAAAAUAACCUCAGCUACUCUUUGAUCUUUCUUUGAAAAACAAUCGUCUCCUCUCGCCCCUCAUUACUUUUACCCAUGCCUGAUUUGAAAACGGUUGUUAGCCAAUUUUCUCUUACCAGACCCUGGUCAUUCUUACCCACGCUGACCACCGGACCUGUUCCCCAGCACUGGCAUGGGGAAGAAAGGUGACCCUGUUUCCCUGAGAUGAGGGAGGGGGAGAGACUGGGGAGGAGCAGGACAGGAAGAGGAAGAAGCGUGUCCUUUGAAUACAACAGCAAAGGCUGUUCUCAGGGGGCAGUGGUCACCCUGCCAUGGUGUCUCUGUGUGCUGCUGGCUGCUCAGGACCUCAUCAGAAAAGCUUGGGUGUGUCUCCCAGGAAUGUGGGAGGACCC
rnacentral:lncRNA from 1 species